CCCCUCUCAGGGUCACACCUUGAGAGUUUCCAAUACUUUGCCAGUCUCAGAUACAGGAGGGAGUGUCAAGCAGAGGCAUACCCAUUCCAUUCCUAGCUUGGCCAGUGGCUAGUGAGUGGAAGGCAAUCUUCUACAAGU
rfam:Ornithorhynchus anatinus chromosome X1, whole genome shotgun sequence.